AUUGAACGCCGGCGGCAUGCCUUACACAUGCAAGUCGAACGGCAGCACGGGGGCAACCCUGGUGGCGAGUGGCGAACGGGUGAGUAAUGCAUUGGAACGUACCCGGAAGUGGGGGAUAACGUAGCGAAAGUUACGCUAAUACCGCAUAUUCUGUGAGCAGGAAAGAGGGGGAUCGCAAGACCUCUUGCUUUCGGAGCGGCCGAUGUCGGAUUAGCUAGUUGGUGGGGUAAAGGCCUACCAAGGCGACGAUCCGUAGCGGGUCUGAGAGGAUGAUCCGCCACACUGGGACGGAGACACGGCCCAGACUCCUACGGGAGGCAGCAGUGGGGAAUUUUGGACAAUGGGGGAAACCCUGAUCCAGCCAUGCCGCGUGAGUGAAGAAGGCCUUCGGGUUGUAAAGCUCUUUCGGCCGGGACGAAAUCGCACUUCCUAAUACGGGGUGUGGAUGACGGUACCGGAAUAAGAAGCACCGGCUAACUACGUGCCAGCCGCCGCCGUAAGAC
rnacentral:rRNA from 1 species